CGCGAGAUACACUGAAAUACAAUAAAAAAAGGACAAUGAAUACAGUGAAAAAAUACAACGAGAUACAUUGAAAUAUAUUAAUAGAAAAUUCAAGUUACUUAGCCCCAAUCUCCUUCAUUUUUGUUCAAGAACAACCCUGAUGUCGUCUCGCCGCUUGUGGAUUGGGACGAAAAAUCCCAGAUUGCGUAGAACCCUAAAACGAUUAAGAGAAGAGAAAGACGAAGAUUUAUAUAGAGUUUUGUUUCUAGAUUCCAGAUUGGUAAUAUAAUCUGAAGAGAAAAGGAAGACGCAGAACCCUAAAACCCCCACGUUUCGAUCCGAGCAGCAAAUAAUUUUCUGGCAUUACAAUGCUUUCCUCAAUUUUUCUCUCUCAUUUUUCGAUCUGUAUUUCGGAGAAUUGUGGUUGUAUUCAUGGAGAAAGAGUGGAGUUGAGAGACAAAGGGUGGAGAAAAAUCUAAAAGAAUGAGACAAAAAACUAAUACAAUGCGUAUUUUAUGGCUUAAGAGUAGGAGGUGGUCAUAAAUAGAUAUCUGACUAUAAAAAUCACAAGGUAGCUAUGGAACAUAAUAAUUUAAAAGGGUAUUUAUUUAAAAUAAAUAAGGUAUCAAACUUUGCUAUAGGAGGUAAAAAUUCCUAAAUUAAAUUAUGCUAACAAAAGCCCAACUAGAAUCAAAUUAAUACUACUGUUGACAAAAGACAUUCAAUUCAAUAGUCAAUACUACGAAUGUCAGACCUCCUUUUUAACAACUACAACCUGGCGAAGGGCGUAGAUAAAGGUAGUUUUUCCAAUUUAAGUGACAAUCGAAACACGAUUCAUUAUAAUUAAAAUCCGAGUAAUCACUUGGGAUAUUUAUGAUGUCCCAAGUCACCGGUUUUAAUCCCUAAUCGAGAAAAAGAAUGACUCUGUUAUUAUGGUCUGCGAAUCAGAAAUCGAGGUAAGGAAUUCUGUUAACCCGGAAAAAGGUAUUAGGCACUCCCGAGUUCUGUGGUUUUAGCACGGUCGCUUAAACUAUUAUAAAUGGCUUAAUAUCUGAUUUUAAUACAUGUCAUUCUAUACUGCAAUUUUAAAAUUACAUACCGCUUUUAAUUGAAUAUUUGAGGAAAUUGAACGUCGUUUAAAAUAUAUUUCUGGACCAAGUUACAUGAAAUGCACCCGGAUCCUCGACACAUUUUAUUCAAC
rnacentral:lncRNA from 1 species